rnacentral:rRNA from 1 species
UACAGAGGUCUCAAGCGUUGUUCGGAUUCAUUGGGCGUAAAGGGUGCGUAGGUGGCCAGGUAAGUCGGAUGUGAAAUCCCGGGGCUCAACCCCGGAACUGCACUCGAUACUGCUUGGCUGGAGUACUGGAGAGGAGAUUGGAAUUUACGGUGUAGCAGUGAAAUGCGUAGAUAUCGUAAGGAAGACCAGUGGCGAAGGCGGAUCUCUGGACAGUUACUGACACUGAGGCACGAAGGCCAGGGGAGCAAACGGG